UACGUAGGGUCCGAGCGUUGUCCGGAAUUACUGGGCGUAAAGAGCUCGUAGGUGGUUUGUCGCGUUGUUCGUGAAAACUCACAGCUCAACUGUGGGCGUGCGGGCGAUACGGGCAGGCUAGAGUACUGCAGGGGAGACUGGAAUUCCUGGUGUAGCGGUGGAAUGCGCAGAUAUCAGGAGGAACACCGGUGGCGAAGGCGGGUCUCUGGGCCGAUAUUGACGCUGAGGAGCGAAGGCGUGGGGAGCGAACAGG
rnacentral:rRNA from 1 species